rnacentral:misc_RNA from 1 species
UAUACAUUAUAAAGCUUCAGUGCAGAAGGAAUGCUAUGACAAGCCCAGAAAUCGCAACCAUGAUAGAGAAGAGGCUUUUACUGAUCCGAAUGGAAGUUGAAUCACUAGCCGUAUCGGGCGAGUCGCACUGAAGCCCAUUCUUACCUUCCUUGCACUCGUUCGCAAAGAGGCCUGGUGGGUACUUCCCGUAGAGAUUAAUGUAACUGAACAUGGUCGAGGAACAAUCGUUGCUCAAGUCGUUGAUCUGUUCGGCAUAAGGGCAAGCAAAUUCCUUAAAGGCCGCACAACAGAGGGAGGCG